rnacentral:rRNA from 1 species
CAAUAGCGUAUAUUAAAGCUGUUGCGGUUAAAAAGCUCGUAGUUGGAUUUCUGUCAAGGACAACUGGUCCGCCCCUCGGGUGAGCACAUAGUUUGGUCUUGGCAUCUUGUUGGAAACUGUUGCUGCACUUGGUUGUGUGGCGCAGUGUCCAGCACUUUCACUUUGAGGAAAUUGGAGUGUUUCAAGCAGGCACAUGCCUUUGGACACAGUAGCAUGGAAUAAUUAGAUUGGGCUUUUGCUUCAACUUGUCGGUUUCUGGAGCUGAGGUGAGAAUUAAUGGGGAUUGUUGGGGGCAUCCGAAUUUAGCCGUCAGAGGUGAAAUUCUUGGAUCUGCUAAAGACGGACAACUGCGAAAGCGUUUGCCCAGGAUGUUUUCAUUGA